rnacentral:rRNA from 1 species
GUAGGUGACGAGCGUUAUCCGGAUUUACUGGGCGUAAAGCGCUUGUAGGUGGCUUUGUAAGUUGGGCGUGAAAACUCUGGGCUUAACCCAGAGACGCCGUCCAAUACUGCGAGGCUCGAGGAUGUCAGAGGAAGGUGGAAUUCCUGGUGUAGUGGUGAAAUGCGUAGAUAUCAGGAGGAACACCCGUGGCGAAGGCGGCCUUCUGGGGCAUUCCUGACACUGAGAAGCGAAAGCUAGGGGAGCAAACAGGAUUAGAAACCCUGGUAGUCCUAGCUGUAAACGAUGGAUGCUAGGUGUUGGCGGAUUUAACCCUGCCAGUGCCGAAGCUAACGCGUUAAGCAUCCCGCCUGGGAAGUACGAUCGCAAGAUUA